UACGUAGGGUGCGAGCGUUAAUCGGAAUUACUGGGCGUAAAGCGUGCGCAGGCGGUUCGUUGUGUCGGCGGUGAAAGCCCCGGGCUUAACCUGGGAAUGGCCGUCGAAACUGGCGAACUGGAGUGUGGCAGAGGGGGGUGGAAUUCCCGGUGUAGUAGUGAAAUGCGUAGAUAUCAAGAGGAACACCUGAGGUGAAGACGGGUUGCUGGGCCGACACUGACGCUGAGUGCGCGAAAGCCAGGGGAGCAAACGGG
rnacentral:rRNA from 1 species